rnacentral:tRNA from 1 species
GGGGUUGUGGCUCAAUGGUGGAGCACCUGCCUCACAUGCGUGAGGAACUGGGUUCGAUUCUCAGCACCCCA